CUACUCUUGACAUCCAGAGAAUUUGCUAGAGAUAGCUUAGUGCCUUCGGGAACUCUGAGACAGGUGCUGCAUGGCUGUCGUCAGCUCGUGUUGUGAAAUGUUGGGUUAAGUCCCGCAACGAGCGCAACCCUUAUCCUUUGUUGCCAGCACGUAAUGGUGGGAACUCAAAGGAGACUGCCGGUGAUAAACCGGAGGAAGGUGGGGAUGACGUCAAGUCAUCAUGGCCCUUACGAGUAGGGCUACACACGUGCUACAAUGGCGCAUACAGAGAGAAGCGACCUCGCGAGAGCAAGCGGACCUCAUAAAGUGCGUCGCAGUCCGGAUUGGAGUCUGCAACUCGACUCCAUGAAGUCGGAAUCGCUAGUAAUCGUAGAUCAGAAUGCUACGGUGAAUACGUUCCC
rnacentral:rRNA from 1 species